AUUGAACGCUGGCGGCAUGCCUUACACAUGCAAGUCGAACGGUAACAGGUCUUCGGAUGCUGACGAGUGGCGAACGGGUGAGUAAUACAUCGGAACGUGCCUCGUAGUGGGGGAUAACUACUCGAAAGAGUGGCUAAUACCGCAUGAGAUCUACGGAUGAAAGCAGGGGAUCGCAAGACCUUGUGCUACUAGAGCGGCCGAUGGCAGAGUAGGUAGUUGGUGGGAUAAAAGCUUACCAAGCCGACGAUCUGUAGCUGGUCUGAGAGGACGAUCAGCCACACUGGGACUGAGACACGGCCCAGACUCCUACGGGAGGCAGCAGUGGGGAAUUUUGGACAAUGGGCGCAAGCCUGAUCCAGCAAUGCCGCGUGCAGGAUGAAGGCCUUCGGGUUGUAAACUGCUUUUGUACGGAACGAAAAGCCCCGGGUUAAUACCCUGGGGUCAUGACGGUACCGUAAGAAUAAGCACCGGCUAACUACGUGCCAGCCGCCGCCGUAA
rnacentral:rRNA from 1 species